GCAAACUUGGUCAUUUAGAGGAAGUAAAAGUCGUAACAAGGUUUCCGUAGGUGAACCUGCGGAAGGAUCAUUAUUGAAGUUAAUAUAGACUGUUGCUGGCUCUUAGGAGUAUUGUGCACGUCUAUUCAAACUUUAUCAAUCUCCACCUGUGCACCUUGUGUAGAUCUGAAUCACUUGUUUUUCGAGUGCGAAACUCGGUUUGAAGAAAUGCGUUGAAGCUUUUCUUCACGAAUUCAGACCUAUGUUUCAAAUAUAACCCAUACAAUGUAAACUUUGCAUGAUAAUUAACAAUAAAAUAUAAUACAACUUUCAACAACGGAUCUCUUGGCUCUCGCAUCGAUGAAGAACGCAGC
rnacentral:misc_RNA from 1 species